UCCGAGUUGACCCCGGCAGUCUCCCAUGAGUCCCCGCCAUUACGCGCUGGCAACAUGGAACGAGGGUUGCGCUCGUUGCGGGACUUAACCCAACAUCUCACGACACGAGCUGACGACAGCCAUGCAGCACCUGUCUCUCGGCUCCCUUGCGGGCACCGCCUCAUCUCUGAGGCAUUCCGAGGAUGUCAAGACCAGGUAAGGUUCUGCGCGUUGCGUCGAAUU
rnacentral:misc_RNA from 1 species